AUAUAUGAAAUGAUAUAUCAUAUACGAUUUCGGCUCGUAAAUUAGGUAUUAUUACCCUUAUAUU
rnacentral:tRNA from 1 species